GAGCGAAGGGGGCUAGCGUUGAUUCGGAAUUACUGGGCGUAAAGCGCGUGUAGGCGGUUGUCAAAGUCGGGUGUGAAAGCCUUGAGCUUAACUCAAGAAAUGCACUCGAUACUUGGUGACUAGAGGACCGGAGAGGAUAGUGGAAUUCCCAGUGUAGUGGUGAAAUACGUAGAGAUUGGGAAGAACACCAGUGGCGAAGGCGGCUAUCUGGACGGUUUCUGACGCUAAGACGCGAAAGCGUGGGGAGCAAACAGG
rnacentral:rRNA from 1 species